ensembl:lncRNA
CAAGGACUGGACUGAAAAUCAGUGGAACAGGUUUACUGAGAGAUAAAUCCAAACGUGAAAUGUUCUUGUUCUUAUUGUAUAGAGAAGAUUAGAGCAGAGAUACAACAGUGAGUGUCUACAAUUAUCUGGAAAACACAGUGGAGGAAACAGUGUGAAAUUUUUUAAGCAAAUGGAAUAAAAGGCAAAAUAUCCGAAGAAGAGCUUAGAAUUUCCCCCAGGAAGCACGGAGAACUACUCAUGAAGACUACUUCAAGAAAUGAUGUGAAAGCUUGCCUCGGAGAGUUCAGGUUGUGUUGAAAGAUAAACCUGAUCUUACCAAAUAGUGACUUUUAAGCUCGUCAGAACUGUACAAACUCUGUUUGUCGGAUUACUUUCAUAAGUGGCUUAUUUAUAUUUUUUAGAAAUAAUAUAAGAGAAUGUUAGAGCUGGAACCAAUGCUCGUGCAAGGCAGACGCUAUGUUUUGGAAGCACAAUGCAGCACAUCAGGCAAAAUGUAAUGAAGCAAAUAUAUUUCUUUUUUUUCUUUUUUUUAAAGUCGUUUUAAAUUUAAACCGUUUUUUUACUUAGUUUUUACUAAAUUUUGUUGUUGAUUUCAUUGUUGUGUUUGUCACAUUAGUUUUGAGCCAUUUUAAUAGUUUUUAAACUACACUAACCACAUUUUAAUCCAUAAAUAAACAAGGGCAUGGAGAUCAUCAGUCCGGCAUCCACAGUACCCUGACCCACCCUGAACUGCUGCAAGUGAGCCAAAUCCAUUGACCGGAGGCCAGUUAAGCAGCACCCACACAGGGAACAAAUCUGAACAUCUUCUUAUAUAACGUUCAAUACACAAGGAGCCUGUUUCAUAAAAUGAAACGUGUAAACACUGCACAGGCAGGUCCUACGGGGCUCUUCCAUGCUCAGACAUUAGCUAAAGUAUUUUUUGUUGCAUUGUGAAUCAUGGCUUUCAUAUUUCAAAUUCAGUAUGGCCUCAGGUUCACAGGCUUCAGGGAGUCUAUAUGUAACGGACAAAUGCAUGAGGAAAUUUUUAACUAUACAGGCUGUUAAUUUAGUCUAACUAAUUUAUUUUAUGGGUGUGAGUUUGAUAGUUUUCAGUAAUCUUAUUUUGAAAAGGCUUUUGUCUCCAGAAGCAUCCGUCUUCAGAGUAGCUUUUAGGGAAAGUGCUAGUUGUAUCCAUUAAACAUACUGGUUUGGGAGUGAAACAGUCACUGUGUUGUUCUUUACUGAACUCAUACUCUCCUUUAUUCAAGGUUACUUAAAAAUCUCCUCCUGUAGCCAGACAGCAGGUAGACAUUUUGCCACAUAACAAAUGUAGAAACUCAAAAUAUUCUCAUAAAUAUGUGAGCCCUGAUGGCAUCUCCCUAUUAGUUUUGUCAUUUGAAUAGUUUUGAAAAGCACAGGCUGCAGAUGCAACAUGAAGACCCUUCCGCUGCUAAAGAAU